rnacentral:rRNA from 1 species
CAGCCGCGGUAAUACCAGCGCCACGAGUGGCAAUCGUUUAUUUGGCUAAAGCGUCCGUAGCUGGCGUUGUAAAUCCUUUGUGAAAUCGUUGGGCUUAACCUAACGGCGUGCAGGGGACACUGCAAUGCUUGAGACCGGGAGGAGUCAGAGGUAUUCUUGGGGGAGCGGUAAAAUGCUAUAAUCCCAGGAGGACCGCCAGUGGCGAAGGCGUCUGACUAGAACGGAUCUGACAGUGAGGGACGAAAGCCAGGGGAGCGAACCGGAUUAGAUACGCCUUUUGCGAAAAGUCGUGUCAAAAGCAGUCAAGUGAGACAUUCGCUACGCGAAGUCCCACGAACUUCGUUCGUUAUAAAAUCUAUUGAAGUUCACUGCUUCGUUAUGCGCAAAAAGGUGCUAAUUACCCGAGUAGUCCUGGCUGUAAACGCUGCGAGCUAGGUGUUGCCAUUUCUACAUGAAAUGGCAGUGUCGAAACGAGGGUGUUAAGCUCGCCGCCUGGGAAGUACGGUCGCAAGACUGAAACUUAAAGGAAUUGGCGGGGGAGCACUACAAGGGGUGCGGCGUGCGGUUUAAUCUAACUCAACGCAGAGAACCUCACCAGCGGCGACAGCAGAAUGAAGGUCAGUCUGAAGGGCUUACCUGACGCGCUGAGAGGUAGUGCAUGGCCGCCGUCAGCUCGUGCCGUAAGGUGUCCUCUUAAGUGAGGCAACGAGCGAGACCUGUAUCUGCAAUUGCUAACAGCCAGUUUCUGGGACUGAGCACAUUGCAGGGACUGCCUUGGAAACAAGGAGGAAGGUGCAGGCUACGGUAGGUCUGUAUGCUCCGAAUCCGCUGGGCUACACGCGCGCAACAAUGGUAGCGACAAUGGGCUGCGACCCUGAAAAGGGAAGCUAAUCCUCGAAACGCUAUCCAAGUCCGAAUUGAGGAUUGCAACUCAUCCUCAUGCCGACGGAAUCCCUAGUAAUCAGAGUUCAUCAUACUCUGGUGAAUACGUCCCUGCUCCUUGCACAC